rnacentral:rRNA from 1 species
AUGGAAGCAAGUGCUGAAAGCACCCACCAAGUUAUCUGCAUCCUGAACACAUACGAAGUGGUCUCAAGCUAGAUGGUGAAUAAAGAAAAAUCGUCAAUUCUUUUCAGCAAAAACACAAGGUCGAAGAAGAAAGAGGAGAUGAAGAAUAUAAUGCAUAUUACCUCUGAAGGUCUAACGUCAAAGUACCUGGGAGUUCCAUCAUAUGUUGGAAAAUCCAAAUCAAGGACAUUCGAUUAUGUGAAAGAUAGGGUGUGGAAGAAGAUUCAAGGUUGGAAGGAAAAACUGCUAUGUAAACCGGGAGAAGUAGUAAUAAAGGAGGUUGCACAAGCAAUUCCGGUUUAUUUGAUGGCAUGUUUCGACCUCACUAAAUCAGUAUGUGAGGAACUAAGCGCUAUGAUUAAUAGGUACUAG